rnacentral:misc_RNA from 1 species
CCGCAAUCUUACCAAAAGUAAACAACUUCCCAGCAUCUAGACUAUCGAGUCUAGCCAAUUCUUCUAUAUGUUGAUCAAUGAUGUCCGCAAAUUUCAUCAUGAUUCUCCCUCUCUCAAAUCCAGACAUGCGAGGCCACUUGCCAUGAUCAAAAGCCUCUCUCGCUGCCUUCACCGCCAGGUCCACAUCCUCCUUAUCACCUUCUGCCACCCUCGCUAUCACAUCCCCAUUGCGCGGAUCCCUCGUCUCAAACGUCCUCCCGGAGACGGAGUCGACGAAGCUGCCGUUGAUGAAGAGCUUUGUAAACUUUAUCUCCGGCGUCACCUUGCCGUUGGAUUCACUGGCCAUGAUGGG